rnacentral:rRNA from 1 species
UUGGAGGGCAAGUCUGGUGCCAGCAGCCGCGGUAAUUCCAGCUCCAAUAGCGUAUAUUAAAGUUGUUGCAGUUAAAAAGCUCGUAGUUGAAUUUCGGGAUCGACGGGUCGGUCGCGCCUCUGGUGUGUACUGGCCCUGUCGGUUUCUCCCUUCUGACGAACCACGAUGUCAUUAAUUUGGUGUCGUGGGAAAUCAGGACUGUUACUUUGAAAAAAUUAGAGUGUUUAAAGCAGGCAUUCGCUUGAAUACAUUAGCAUGGAAUAAUGAAAUAGGACGUUUGAUCUUAUUUUGUUGGUUUCUAAGAUCGACGUAAUGAUUAAUAGGGAUAGUUGGGGGCAUUAGUAUUCAAUUGUCAGAGGUGAAAUUCUUGGAUUUAUUGAAGACUAACUACUGCGAAAGCAUUUGCCAAGGAUGUUUUCAUUAAUCAAGAACGAAAGUUAGGGGAUCGAAGACGAUCAGAUACCGUCGUAGUCUUAACCAUAAACUAUGCCGACUAGGGAUCGGAUGAUGUUGAUUUUUUAAUGACUCAUUCGGCGCCUUACGGGAAAC